rnacentral:rRNA from 1 species
AAUCGCAGAGAUGGCUUAGUGCUCGAAAGAGAACCGUAACACAGGGUGCUGCAUGGCUGUCGUCAGCUCGUGUCGUGAGAUGUUGGGUUAAGUCCCGCAACGAGCGCAACCCUUGUCAUUAGUUGCUACAUUUAGUUGGGCACUCUAAUGAGACUGCCGGUGACAAACCGGAGGAAGGUGGGGAUGACGUCAAGUCCUCAUGGCCCUUAUAGGUAGGGCUACACACGUCAUACAAUGGAUGGUACAGAGGGUCGCCAACCCGCGAGGGGGAGCCAAUCCCAUAAAACCAUUCGUAGUCCGGAUCGCAGUCUGCAACUCGACUGCGUGAAGUCGGAAUCGCUAGUAAUCGCGGAUCAGAAUGUCGCGGUGAAUACGUUCCCGGGUCUUGUACACACCG